rnacentral:rRNA from 1 species
UACGUAGGGCGCAAGCGUUGUCCGGAAUUAUUGGGCGUAAAGAGCUCGUAGGCGGCCUGUUACGUCUGCUGUGAAAUCCCGGGGGCUUAACCCCGGGCGUGCAGUGGAUACGGGCAGGCUGGAGGCAGGCAGGGGAGAACGGAAUUCCCGGUGUAGCGGUGAAAUGCGCAGAUAUUGGGAGGAACACCAGUGGCGAAGGCGGCUCACUGGACCGGUUCUGACGCUGAGGCGCGAAAGCGUGGGGAGCAAACGGG